GACAGAGGAUGCAAGCGUUAUCCGGAAUGAUUGGGCGUAAAGCGUCUGUAGGUGGCUUUUCAAGUCCGCCGUCAAAUCCCAGGGCUCAACCCUGGACAGGCGGUGGAAACUACCAAGCUGGAGUACGGUAGGGGCAGAGGGAAUUUCCGGUGGAGCGGUGAAAUGCAUUGAGAUCGGAAAGAACACCAGCGGCGAAAGCGCUCUGCUGGGCCGACACUGACGCUGAGAGACGAAAGCUAGGGGAGCAAAUGGG
rnacentral:rRNA from 1 species